UACGAAGGGUGCAAGCGUUACUCGGAAUUACUGGGCGUAAAGCGCACGUAGGCGGCUUUGUAAGUUAGAGGUGAAAGCCCAGGGCUUAACCCUGGAAUUGCCUUUAAGACUGCAUCGCUAGAAUUGUGGAGAGGUAAGUGGAAUUCCGAGUGUAGAGGUGAAAUUCGUAGAUAUUCGGAAGAACACCAGUGGCGAAGGCGACUUACUGGACACAUAUUGACGCUGAGGUGCGAAAGCGUGGGGAGCAAACAGG
rnacentral:rRNA from 1 species